rnacentral:rRNA from 1 species
UCUACGGAGAGUUUGAUCCUGGCUCAGGACGAACGCUGGCGGCGUGCUUAAUACAUGCAAGUCGAGCGAGAACCCGAGAAGGGGUAACCCUUUUCGGGGGACAGCGGCGAACGGGUGAGUAACACGUGGGCAACGUGCCCCAGACACCGGGAUAACAGUGGGAAACUGCUGCUAAUACCGGAUAUUCCCUUCCCUCCGCAUGGCGGGUUGGGCAAAGCUCCGACGGUCUGGGAUCGGCCCGCGUCCUAUCAGCUUGUUGGUGGGGUAACGGCCU